rnacentral:tRNA from 1 species
GCCGGAGUGGAGAAAUGCAGACUCGCGGCCCUCAAAAGGCCGUGCCCGCAAGGGCGUGCGGGUUCGAAUCCCGCCUCCGGCACCA